UGAACGCUGGCGGCAGGCCUAACACAUGCAAGUCGAGCGGAUGAAAGGAGCUUGCUCCUGGAUUCAGCGGCGGACGGGUGAGUAAUGCCUAGGAAUCUGCCUGGUAGUGGGGGACAACGUUUCGAAAGGAACGCUAAUACCGCAUACGCCUACGGGGAAAGCAGGGGAUCGUAAGACCUUGCGUUAAUGGAGCGGCCGAUAUCUGAUUAGCUAGUUGGUGAGGUAAAGGCUCACCAAGGCGACGAUCAGUAGCUGGUUUGAGAGAACGACCAGCCACACUGGAACUGAGACACGGUCCAGACUCCUACGGGAGGCAGCAGUGGGGAAUUUUGGACAAUGGGGGCAACCCUGAUCCAGCCAUUCCGCGUGAGUGAAGAAGGCCUCGGUUGUAAGCUCUUCGUCAAGGAAGAAACUAAUGAUCGAAUAAUACAUGAGUUGACGGUACGUUCGAUAAGAGACACCGGCGUAACUACGUGCCAGCA
rnacentral:rRNA from 1 species